rnacentral:rRNA from 1 species
UACGAAGGGGGCUAGCGUUGCUCGGAAUCACUGGGCGUAAAGCGCACGUAGGCGGUCUUUUAAGUCAGGGGUGAAAUCCUGGAGCUCAACUCCAGAACUGCCUUUGAUACUGAAGAUCUUGAGUUCGGGAGAGGUGAGUGGAACUGCGAGUGUAGAGGUGAAAUUCGUAGAUAUUCGCAAGAACACCAGUGGCGAAGGCGGCUCACUGGCCCGAUACUGACGCUGAUGCACGAAAGCGUGGGGAGCAAACAGG